rnacentral:rRNA from 1 species
UACGUAGGGGGCAAGCGUUGUCCGGAUUUAUUGGGCGUAAAGAGCGUGUAGGCGGUUUGGUAGGUCCGCUGUGAAAACUCGAGGCUCAACCUCGAGACGCCGGUGGAAACCAUCAGACUAGAGUCCGGAAGAGGAGAGUGGAAUUCCUGGUGUAGCGGUGAAAUGCGCAGAUAUCGUAAGGAAGACCAGUGGCGAAGGCGGGUCUCUGGACAGUUCCUGACGCUGAGGCACGAAGGCCAGGGGAGCAAACGGG